rnacentral:lncRNA from 1 species
GAGUGGCAGGCUUUGUGCUUACGAUUGCUAGGAUUUGAGCCCGACGCAUACUUUUUCGAUCAUUCAUAACUCAGGAUUGAGUAUUUGGAUGAUCGUUAUCGACAUUUUCAUAUUGCGGAUGAUGCACCAGAGGAGAUGGUGCAGCAGUAUGUUAGGGGUCAGGUGCUGCGGUUAUUAGGUGGUGUUCUGUUAUCCGAUACUUCAUCGAAUAAGAUGAA